rnacentral:rRNA from 1 species
GACGAACGCUGGCGGCGUGCUUAACACAUGCAAGUCGAACGGUGAAGCACCUUCCUUUUGGUGGGUGUGGAUGAGUGGCGAACGGGUGAGUAACACGUGAGUAACCUGCCCCCUUCUUCUGGAUAACCGCAUGAAAGUGUGGCUAAUACGGGAUAUUCUGGGUCUGUCGCAUGGCGGGCCUGGGAAAGAUAUUGUUUCGGUGGGGGAUGGGCUCGCGGUCUAUCAGCUUGUUGGUGGGGUGAUGGCCUACCAAGGCGGUGAUGGGUAGCCGGCCUGAGAGGGUGGACGGUCACACUGGGACUGAGACACGGCCCAGACUCCUACGGGAGGCAGCAGUGGGGAAUAUUGCACAAUGGGCGCAAGCCUGAUGCAGCGACGCCGCGUGAGGGAUGGAGGCCUUCGGGUUGUAAACCUCUUUCGCCAGUGAAGCAGGCCUGUCCCUUUUGUGGGUGGGUUGACGGUAGCUGGAUAAGAAGCGCCGGCUAACUACGUG